CUCCUACGGGAGACAGCAGUAAGGAAUAUUGGUCAAUGGACGAAAGUCUGAACCAGCCAUGCCGCGUGCAGGAUGACUGCCCUAUGGGUUGUAAACUGCUUUUGUACGGGAAAAAAAUCUUGUUUUCGCAACGAGACUGAUGGUACCGUAAGAAUAAGGAUCGGCUAACUCCGUGCCAGCCGCCGCGGUAAUAC
rnacentral:rRNA from 1 species